CGCGUAGGCGGGAUAUUAAGUCUGUUUUAAAAGUGCGGGGCUCAACCCCGUGAUGGAAUGGAAACUAAUAUUCUUGAGUGCAGGAGAGGAAAGUGGAAUUCCUAGUGUAGCGGUGAAAUGCGUAGAUAUUAGGAGGAACACCAGUGGCGAAGGCGACUUUCUGGACUGUGUCUGACGCUGAGGCGCGAAAGCCAGGGGAGUGAACGGGAUUAGAUACCCCGGUAAUCCUGGCCGUAAACGAUGGGUACUAGGUGUAGGAGGUAUCGACCCCUUCUGUGCCGGAGUUAACGCAAUAAGUACCCCGCCUGGGGAGUACGGCCGCAAGGUUGAA
rnacentral:rRNA from 1 species